GCCUAACGAUCCCUAAAUAGCCUCAGGUGGCGUGAGGAUUGGGGUGACAGACAAGUUACCUCCGGGACAACUGGCUUGUGGCUGCUAAGAGAUCAAAUCAACGCAGCUUUUUGAUUCUUCGAUGUCGGCUCUUCCUAUCCUAGUGAUGUACAAGUUGCUAAGGGUCGGAUUGUUCACCCGUAUUAGGGAUCGUGAGCUGGGUUUAGACCGUCGUGAGCCAGGUUUGUUUUAUCCUACUGGAUAUAGCAUCAUGAUAGUAGAUUGAUUUAGUACGAGAGGAACUGUUGAUUAUGGCCUCUGGUUAGCGAUUAUCGGAAACGGUAUGUCGCGCAGCUACGCCGUCUGGGAUAAUGGCUGAAAGCCUCUUAAGCCAGAAGCCCAUCUAGAAAGUGAUGCACGUGAUGUUGGACCGAUACGAAUAAUCAUACUCAAAAGGUCCGCUUCAUAGGUAACCCAAUGUAGAAGACAUUGUGUGAACGAAGGUACUGUAAGCAGUGGAGUGGCAUUACGUCCACGACCUGUUGAGGUUCAGCUUCGCUUCUAGGUUUCC
rnacentral:ncRNA from 1 species